UAUUUUCCUUUUUUUCCCUCAGCCGCGGUAAUACGUAUGGUGCAAGCGUUAUCCGGAUUUACUGGGUGUAAAGGGAGCGCAGGCGGAAGGCUAAGUCUGAUGUGAAAGCCCGGGGCUCAACCCCGGUACUGCAUUGGAAACUGGUCAUCUAGAGUGUCGGAGGGGUAAGUGGAAUUCCUAGUGUAGCGGUGAAAUGCGUAGAUAUUAGGAGGAACACCAGUGGCGAAGGCGGCUUACUGGACGAUAACUGACGCUGAGGCUCGAAAGCGUGGGGAGCAAACAGG
rnacentral:rRNA from 1 species